rnacentral:rRNA from 1 species
CCCCUAGACGUUCUGGGCUGCACGCGCGCUACAAUAAUACGCACAGCGAGUAUCACCGAGCUCGAAAGGGCAAGGUAAACAAUAGAAAAGGUACUGUAAUGGUUAUAGAUCCUUGUAAUUAUUGAUCUUCAACGAGGAAUUCCUAGUAAGUAUGUGUCAUCGUCACGCACUGAUUACGUCCCUGCCCUUUGUACACACCGCCCGUCGCUCCUACCGAUUGAGUGAGCCGAUGAAACUGCCGGAUGUAGGCUAUUUAUAGCCCGCAGAAGAUAUUUGAAUCGUAGCGCUUAGAGGAAGGAGAAGUCGUAACA